UUCAGAGGAGAGAUGCAGAGCGACAGAGACACUCUAUCUAACGCGAGAGUGUUUAAUUUGAUUAAAUAUGACUCCUAAGUUCAUAUAAACUGAAGAAAUCAGAAUUUAACUUGCAUAUAUUCAAUGAUACAGCGUGGUUGUGUGGAUUGAGCACUUUUUGAGCUUUCAUUUUGACCUGGGGUUAGAUUGUUCAUUGCAGCGUGAUUAUGUAAAACCACAUGGUGUGUUGUGUUCGCUGACGCCAUUUUGGUUGCACGUGCCUGUGAAAGACAAAAAGAGAGAGAAACACGUGAAUGGACAGGUAUUUGUCUAAAUUGUCAUUUAUUAUGACAACUGUAUGUAUUUUAUUUGUUUCCUGUAUUAUGUACAAUUGUUAAUCAUCAUUGAUACACAAUAUUGAAUGUUUUUUCCUUUCGUAUGAACAUUCCUUGAGCUGGAUUUUCCUAAUUGAUGGCGAGCCUCCCAUUUCGACCUGAUUGGAUCACGAAUCUAGAGGAAAGGACAAUUUUCUAUUUUAAAUAUUUUUCUUCAGACAAGUAAGAGGAUACAUUUCAGAAACUGUUUCCUUAUUUUGUUUGUUUACUUUAUUGAACUGAAACAUUUCAGAAGCACAAUUCUGAUAAUUUAAGACUGAUCAAUACUCCAAUUGAUAAGAACUUUGAACUUGAAUACUGAUUUCAGUGUGUUACAUAUAUAAUUUGUACCAUCUUUGUACAUUGAUUGUGACUGUGAUUUCUGUAAAUGAGAAGUAAUUUAGAGGGUGCACCCAUAGUAUAUAUAGUUAAUUGUAUUUUCAUUGUUGUUUACUAUUUUUUUGUGAUUAAGGAAAGAUAAAGAAAAAGAAAGGUUUCUCAAUACUCAAAGUAAAAUAAUUUAUUAAUCAACUUA